rnacentral:rRNA from 1 species
GACGAACGCUGGCGGCGUGCCUAAUACAUGCAAGUCGAACGGUCUUUUUUAUGGAAGCUUGCUUCCACUGAGAAGAUAGUGGCGGACGGGUGAGUAACACGUGGGUAACCUGCCCAUAAGAGGGGGAUAACAUCCGGAAACGGGUGCUAAUACCGCAUAGUUUUUUUGAUCGCAUGAUCGGGAAAGGAAAGACGGCCUUUGUGCUGUCGCUUAUGGAUGGACCCGCGGCGUAUUAGUUAGUUGGUGAGGUAAUGGCUCACCAAGACGAUGAUACGUAGCCGACCUGAGAGGGUGAUCGGCCACAUUGGGACUGAGACACGGCCCAAACUCCUACGGGAGGCAGCAGUAGGGAAUCUUCCGCAAUGGACGAAAGUCUGACGGAGCAACGCCGCGUGAGUGAAGAAGGUUUUCGGAUCGUAAAACUCUGUU